UACGUAGGGUGCGAGCGUUAAUCGGAAUUACUGGGCGUAAAGCGUGCGCAGGCGGUUCGUUAAGUCUGAUGUGAAAGCCCCGGGCUCAACCUGGGAAUGGCAUUGGAUACUGGCGGGCUGGAGUACGGUAGAGGAUGGUGGAAUUCCCGGUGUAGCGGUGAAAUGCGUAGAGAUCGGGAGGAACACCCGUGGCGAAGGCGGCCAUCUGGACCAGUACUGACGCUGAGGCACGAAAGCGUGGGGAGCAAAC
rnacentral:rRNA from 1 species